rnacentral:rRNA from 1 species
UACGUAGGAGACGAGCGUUGUCCGGAGUUACUGGGCGUAAAGGGUGCGCAGGUGGCGGCGCGCGUGGGGGGUGAAAUCGCCCGGCUUAACUGGGCGGGGGCCUUCCAGACGGCGUGGCUUGAGCAGCGGAGGGGGACGUGGAAUUCCGGGUGGAGCGGUGAAAUGCGUAGAGAUCCGGAGGAACACCAGUGGCGAAAGCGGCCACCUGGACUGUACCUGACGCUGAAACGCGGAAAGCUAGGGGAGCGAACGGG